rnacentral:lncRNA from 1 species
AUCCCUUUGGUUGAAAACUACAUUCUUCACUUCUCUCUUGGAACAAAAAACAUCUUCAAGUUAUUUAACAUAUAACUGAAUGACUUUAGAGAUUGUAUAUUUCCACGCAAAGUGAGGAAAGAUCUCAUUGGCUCUCUGCUUGCUAGAAUGUGACAAAAUAAUUACUCUGUAUUGAAUAAGGAUGUGUUUUGUUAAAAAAUUCCAUUAUUUCCAUGGUAAUAAAGUAGAAAGAUUUUAUAUGGGUUUCUACUAUGUCUUUUAAAAAUUCUAUUUCUGCACUGAGUGUUAUUUUUAUACUCACUGAAGAAACUGAAAUUGCACUUUAAGAUUUAAGGGAAAUGUUAAACAGGAACGAUUUUCUAAAAACAAGGUGAUACUCUACACUUUGCACAUGGCACUUUGAAUGUAAAAUGUUUUUCUAGAAGUGAAGAACGGGUAUUUGCUGGGGAGAGAAAUCCAGAUGAUGUUUUCCCAGUUUGUGGGAAUCUCAUGAGAAGGUGUGUGUGCUGCCGUUUAGGUGUUCUCUUUUUUUUUUUUUUCCUGUUCGGCUUCUUCACCAAGCCACUGGGUAGCAUUUUUGCUUCGAUGCCUUGUUCCUCUUUUAUGCCUUCUAGGCCAGUGCUUCUCAUCUUGAAAGGGGAUGUGAUGGCUUCCAGGCACAUGGGACCAACUCCUUGCUCCGGUCUGAAAAGACACACGUCGCCUUCCCUUCCCGGAAGCUCGCAGGCCUCUGUGCCUCCUGGGCUGGUUCUCAAGCCCAGGACAGUGCCAAGAGGAUGAGCCCCAGGCCUUCUGCACAGCAAGACCCCUGGACUCCCCCACCAUGGAGCCCUGGGGCGGGCUGGUCUGCAGAGCAGCGGCCUGGGACCUGCACUUUAAGAAGCGCUGUCUGAUUUGAGUGGUGCUUAACAAAGCAGUAUGAGGAAGGAGCAAUGACAGGGGAGGACUCAUGGUCAAGCCACACAGCAGGGGCAGGAAGCCCGCGGCCCUUGCUGUGAGAAGAGCUCAGAUCAUUUUCACGUGCUGCUGUGACAGGCAGAGGAGGCUUAAGAAUAAUAGGAGUUUUGGAAGACAGAUUUGAUGGCAUACCCAAUAUAAGAAAUGGAUUAUGAGUAGGUGUAAAAUUGUCAUCUUUACUCUCUGUGUGCUUUCAGUUUACUCAAGGUCUUAGGCAAUGUCUUAACUACAAUUCCAGUUUUUCUCUCUCUGAGAAUGGAUUGCUUUGGCUGGGGAUUACUCACGGUGAACUUGCUUUGCGGGGAGAGUUGCCGACUGUCUUAAUUACAUUUUGAAAAACACAACAACUUGGGGUUAAACUGGAGAAGUUAAUGAUGAAUGCAGUCUGGGGUUCUUCCCCGGCUGCCUUCCCCUGCAGCCGCCCUGGAGGAGGCUGGCUGGCUCGCUCGCUCAGGAGUCCUCAGCGAUUCUUCUUUAUUCAGACAAAGGGACCUAAACUCUGCAGCCAAUGUUGCAGGACCCAAGUGGUCUGUCUCUGCCACCACCUCCUGCUCCCGAUGGCAAAUAAACAGGACAAAAGGAAA